AAAGAAGAGACGAGAAGAGAAAGCAGUAAUAAAUUCGUUACAAAUAUUAGAGACAUAUAACAAUUGUUAAGAGUGGCAUAUUAUUAGAAGCAUCGUACAUUAAUUAACCGAUCAAAUUUCUCCCAGUUAUUAUACAUACAUAUAUGAAAUAGAUGACUUUAGGCUAUGGAAAUACGAGAAAAUAACAGCGAUACAUUAUGUGUGCCUGAUGUCCACUUCAUCCGUUGCUUGAUUCUCCAGUGUACAAGGUCUAUGAAAUUCCUGGCCCCUUUCAUGCAGCCAUUUGUUUGCCACUGUAUCGCUGUGUCGUCUUGCCCAUCCUCACCUCGCUUCUUCUUUGACUGGCUGGCCUUGCUUUGAAUCUCCUUUUGAUAAUACGCGCGAUUUCCCAACGCUCUCUCGUGUGUCGGGACCAAUUCCAACAACUCGUUCGUCAUACUCAAAGCACGGGCGACAUUACCUAGAAGGAUGAUAAAGACGGAAUAAUAUAUAUGAUGUGUGUUACUAGCAAGUGUGCUUUUUCUCAAAAAAUUGAGAGACGAGAGGUAACUUCUUAUCUUUGAGAAAGGAAGAGAGAUGAGGCACGUUCGUCGCAAAUCGCCGUCCAAUUACAAUUGGAACGUGCUACGAUAUCGUGAUAUCAACUCUGUGGCGAACGACGGAGACGUUUCCGACACCUGGCGACACCAUUGUCCUCGAUGUCGCACAACGGCGAGGAAUGUCCUUUCAAAAGAGGGAAAGAGACAACUUAUCUCGAGUCGCGAAUCUCUGAGAAGCAGAUGCUUUCCCGUCGAUUCCUUCUCGUAUUUAAUGUAUAAAGCCGAGACGAGAGACCUUUUCUCAAUACAAACGACGAGAUCUGUCUGAACGACCAACGUCGUUGAAGAAGAAGUACAUCGGUCAUUGUAAAAGAGACAUACGUCAACUUUCUUACGAACGAGUCUCUCAGGAAAAUUAAUGAAAAAUUUUCUUUUUCUGAAAAGCGCGAGAUUUUUGUAAUGAAACCAAUUGUAGUAAAUUGAUGAGACAAAAAGCAUAUCCCAUCGCCAUAUGGAUCGACAGGUUGGUCGUUAACCAGAACCGGGGUAUAUGACGAGACACAAUAUAAAUUACGGGAAUUAAACACGGCAGGUGUGCGUGACUUCGAACGCUUCUCUCUCAUCUCGGCGACGUGCACCUCACAUCUGACAUUUGCAGCUGUUACGAAUUUCGAGCGGCGCUCGUUACAAUCGAGCCAGAAUAAACGUGAAUUGUCAAUAUCCGCUUCACUGUUCAUAGAUCUUAAUUCCCGAAAUAGUCAUCCAACUGCAUCGCGGUGAGCGACAGCAUAUAUGAAUGUACACAGAGAAUACAGUGAUCUUGAUAAAUAUAUAUAAUCAGAAGCAUAUCUUCUU